CAGCAGCCGCGGGAAAACAGAGGGUGCGAGCGUUAAUCGGAUUUACUGGGCGUAAAGCGUGCGUAGGCGGCUAAUUGAGUCGGAUGUGAAAUCCCCGAGCUUAACUUGGGAAUUGCAUUCGAUACUGGUUAGCUAGAGUGUGGGAGAGGAUGGUAGAAUUCCAGGUGUAGCGGUGAAAUGCGUAGAGAUCUGGAGGAAUACCGAUGGCGAAGGCAGCCAUCUGGCCUAACACUGACGCUGAGGUACGAAAGCAUGGGGAGCAAACAGGAUUAGAUACCCCGGUAGUCCCUGUCUCUUAUAC
rnacentral:rRNA from 1 species